GACGAACGCUGGCGGCGUGCUUAACACAUGCAAGUCGAACGGAGUGGCGAACGGGGGGGUAACAAGUGGGUGAACAGCCCUGCACUUCGGGAUAAGCAGGGGAAACAGGGUCUAAUAACGGAGAGGGUGGGAUUGGCACGCGGCCUAUCAGAUUGUUGGUGGGGUAAUGGCCUACCAAGGCGGCGACGGGUAGCCGGCCUGAGAGGGUGGACGGCCAAAUUGGGACUGUGACACGGUCCAGACUCCGACGGGAGGCAGCAGUUGUGAAUAUUGCACAAUGGGCGAAAGCCUGAUGCAGCGACGCCGCGUGGUGGCUGAAGGCUUUCGGGUUGUUAACCUCUUUCGCUAUCGACGGGGUAGGUGCAGAAGAAGCGCCGGCUAACUACGUGCCAGCAGCCGCGGUAAUUC
rnacentral:rRNA from 1 species